AGAUAAUUCUUCAAGACUCAGCUCAGUCUGGCUUCCCCUGAGAAGCUUUUUCUGACACCCGCUCCUCACAAACCUCAGCUCAGAGCUUUUCCUCUCUGCUCUCAGAGGAUGAGCCCGCAGGCUUCAAUAUGUUGUAGAGAUAUCUAGUCCUGGAAUCUUCUAAUCAGAGUUUAAAAAUAUUAGGUUGUUUAAAACUCUGGAGAGAUCAGAAGAGAAUGCUGAUGUCUUGAGCUGCUCACCACACAGAGCCUUUGAGGUUUGGUUUUACCCCAAUUGAGACUGAGAAACUUGUGGACAAUACUGAACUGUCACCAACAUUCCUCACCACCCUUAAAUAAAGACCCAAACUGAAGAGAUGAUAUUAGUGCCUGAGGUUUCCUCAGGCUUAAUUUCUGGGGAGAAGUGAACCAGAACACUUGCUGGUUUUUCAGCCUUUGUGUAUUAUAUCCUGAUCUGCAGCGAGCAUCCGUCCUAUCGAGUGACUGGGGCACAGC
ensembl:lncRNA